CACGUAGGGCGCAAGCGUUGUCCGGAAUUAUUGGGCGUAAAGAGCUCGUAGGUGGCUUGUUACGUCUGCUGUGAAAACCUAGGGCUUAACCCUGGGCUUGCAGUGGAUACGGGCAGACUAGAGGUAGGUAGGGGAGAAUGGAAUUCCUGGUGUAGCGGUGAAAUGCGCAGAUAUCAGGAGGAACACCGGUGGCGAAGGCGGUUCUCUGGGCCUUACCUGACACUGAGGAGCGAAAGCGUGGGGAGCGAACAGG
rnacentral:rRNA from 1 species